UUAGGAAUCUUCCACAAUGGGCGAAAGCCUGAUGGAGCGACGCCGCGUGAGGGAUGAAGGCCUUAGGGUUGUAAACCUCUAAAAGAGGGACGAUAAUGACGGUACCUCUUGAAUAGCACCGGCUAACUCCGUGCCAGCAGCCGCGGUAAUACGGAGGGUGCAAGCGUUAUCCGGAAUCACUGGGCGUAAAGGGCGCGUAGGCGGUCUGUUAAGUCCGAUGUUAAAUCCCGGGGCUCAACCCCGGAUAAGCGUUGGAUACUGGCAGGCUAGACGGUUGGAGAGNGGAGUGGAAUUACCAGUGUAGCGGUGGAAUGCUUAGAUACUGGUAGGAACACCCAUUGCGAAGGCAGCUCGCUGGACAACACGUGACGGUGAGGCGCGAAAGUGUGGGGAGCAAACC
rnacentral:rRNA from 1 species